rnacentral:rRNA from 1 species
AUACGGAGGGUGCGAGCGUUGUUCGGAAUCAUUGGGCGUAAAGAGCGUGUAGGCGGCGGGGUGUGUCUGAUGUGAAAGCCCGGAGCUCAACUCCGGAAGUGCAUUGGAAACUGCCUCGCUUGAGUCCCGGAGAGGGUAGUGGAAUUCCUGGUGUAGAGGUGAAAUUCGUAGAUAUCAGGAGGAACACCGGUGGCGAAGGCGACUACCUGGACGGAGUCUGACGCUGAGACGCGAAAGCGUGGGGAGCAAACAGGAUUAGAAACCCUAGUAGUCC